GUGCCAGCCGCCGCGGUAAUACGUAGGCAGCGAGCGUUGUUCGGAGUUACUGGGCGUAAAGCGUGCGUAGGCGGUUUUCCAAGUCUGGUGUGAAAUCUCCCGGCUCAACCGGGAGGGUGCGCUAGAAACUGGGAGGCUGGAGUGCGGGAGAGGUAGGCGGAAUUCCUGGUGUAGCGGUGAAAUGCGUAGAUAUCAGGAGGAACACCGGUGGUGUAGACGGCCUGCUGGACCGUGACUGACGCUGAGGCACGAAAGCGUGGGGAGCAAACAGGAUUAGAUACCCCGGUAGUCC
rnacentral:rRNA from 1 species